GGAUUAGAUACCCUGGUAGUCCACGCUGUAAACGAUGAUUACUCGGUGCUGGCGAUACACUGUCAGUGCCUAAGCGAAAGUGAUAAGUAAUCCACCUGGGGAGUACGAUCGCAAGGUUGAAACUCAAAGGAAUUGACGGGGGCCCGCACAAGCGGUGGAGCAUGUGGUUUAAUUCGAUGAUACGCGAGGAACCUUACCUGGGCUUAAAUGCAUAAUGACAGACUGGGAAACCAGUCCUUCUUCGGACAGAAUGCAAGGUGCUGCAUGGCUGUCGUCAGCUCGUGUUG
rnacentral:rRNA from 1 species